rnacentral:lncRNA from 1 species
CCAUAUGCAAUUGUCUUAUUUGAUUAUCUAAGUAAUAAAUUAUAUCUCAUUAAAAAUAUUCUACAUAUAAAAUUUCACAUCAUUCCCGUUAACUUUUUUAACGGUAUUUUCAUUAAAUCUGUUAGAAAAAACACAUUGAGAAAAAAAACAAAAGUUGAUGGCCAAAAAAGCUCAAAAAUAUAAUUAGUACUGUGAUACCCAAUUGUUGCCCAGGGCCCAAAUUAACCAAUUCUGACCCAAUAAGGCCCAAAUCAUUACAAAUCCCAAACCGAAGUCUAACCCUGGCCUAACCCUAAACAGCUAGCAGCAAAAUUAGCAGCCGCGGCAACCUCACCCACGCCUCAACAUCGCCCCAUGUUCAGCACUUUGCGCACGUCCUCCACGACCUUCAUACCUGCGAAAAACUGAUCCAAACAGCAAUAGAUGUAAAAAUAACAAAAUAGAUUUUUAUUUAUUGAUUUUGAUUAUUAUUUGGGGGGUUGGAUAUAAAAGGGCGAUUUCAAUCUGUAAAGGGGUUAGCAAUAUUGUAUGAAAAAAAUCUUAAAGAAAAUACGAAAAUAAGGAAUCAAAAAGGCAAAUUUUUGAAGGUAAUUGUUCUGUUCCUUUUUUUUAUUUGUUUUUCCUUUUUCAUUGUCUAUCUUGUUUCUUAAAACAAAAGCGGAAGAGGGAAGUAGAGGAGGACUUUUCGUCGCAUGCGGCGUUGAGGGAUCUUCAUUCCAUCGUCGGAAUGAAAGGAAUGCAGAGCGGCAGUGGGAAAGGGAGGCUGCGGCAAAACACAAAAAUGACAGAGAAAGGGAAUGAAUUUAGGGUUUUAAAAUGAGAUUUUAUAAGAGUUCAAAAGGGGCCAUUUGCGCGAUUGGUCCUUUGCUUUUUG